GACGAACGCUGGCGGCGUGCUUAACACAUGCAAGUCGAACGGAAAGGCCCUGCUUUUGUGGGGUGCUCGAGUGGCGAACGGGUGAGUAACACGUGAGUAACCUGCCCUUGACUUUGGGAUAACUUCAGGAAACUGGGGCUAAUACCGGAUAGGAGCUCCUGCUGCAUGGUGGGGGUUGGAAAGUUUCGGCGGUUGGGGAUGGACUCGCGGCUUAUCAGCUUGUUGGUGGGGUAGUGGCUUACCAAGGCUUUGACGGGUAGCCGGCCUGAGAGGGUGACCGGCCACAUUGGGACUGAGAUACGGCCCAGACUCCUACGGGAGGCAGCAGUGGGGAAUAUUGCACAAUGGGCGGAAGCCUGAUGCAGCAACGCCGCGUGCGGGAUGACGGCCUUCGGGUUGUAAACCGCUUUCGCCUGUGACGAAGCGUGAGUGACGGUAAUGGGUAAAGAGGCACCGGCUAGCUACGUG
rnacentral:rRNA from 1 species